rnacentral:lncRNA from 1 species
GGGGUGGAGCUCUGGGAAAAGAAGAGGACCCUGCCAGGGAGAUAUUUCAUUGGCCAGAAUCCAGAGGAUGGAGCCCAUUGGUUGGAACUCUGGUUGAAACUGGAACUCUGAGAAGGGUGGAGAGAGCCCCCAGGCGCCUACUUCUGGGCGGGGAUCAUGUCGUCAAUGGACUGGCCUUUCUCCAACUUCUUCUCCAUUUCCACCAUGAGCUUCACACCAUCCACCACCAGCUG